GAUGAACGCUGGCGGCGUGCCUAAUACAUGCAAGUCGAGCGAACUGAUUAGAAGCUUGCUUCUAUGACGUUAGCGGCGGACGGGUGAGUAACACGUGGGCAACCUGCCUGUAAGACUGGGAUAACUUCGGGAAACCGAAGCUAAUACCGGAUAGGAUCUUCUCCUACAUGGGAGAUGAUUGAAAGAUGGUUCCGGCUAUCACUUACAGAUGGGCCCGCGGUGCAUUAGCUAGUUGGUGAGGUAACGGCUCACCAAGGCAACGAUGCAUAGCCGACCUGAGAGGGUGAUCGGCCACACUGGGACUGAGACACGGCCCAGACUCCUACGGGAGGCAGCAGUAGGGAAUCUUCCGCAAUGGACGAAAGUCUGACGGAGCAACGCCGCGUGAGUGAUGAAGGCUUUCGGGUCGUAAAACUCUGUUGUUAGGGAAGAAUAAGUACGAGAGUAACUGCUCGUACCUUGACGGUACCUAACCAGAAAGCCACGGCUAACUACGUGCCAGCAGCCGCGGUAACAC
rnacentral:rRNA from 1 species